UACGUAGGGUGCAAGCGUUAAUCGGAAUUACUGGGCGUAAAGCGUGCGCAGGCGGCUAUGCAAGACAGAUGUGAAAUCCCCGGGCUCAACCUGGGAACUGCAUUUGUGACUGCAUGGCUAGAGUGCGGCAGAGGGGGAUGGAAUUCCGCGUGUAGCAGUGAAAUGCGUAGAUAUGCGGAGGAACACCGAUGGCGAAGCAAUCCCCUGGGCCUGCACUGACGCUCAUGCACGAAAGCGUGGGGAGC
rnacentral:rRNA from 1 species